CGUGAUGAGCAGCAUGGUCCCAUUUUUGUGGCGGGUAAUCAACAUAGUAAGGAUCACAUUGUUCUUGGAUCAUAGAUUAGAUGCAGCAUCCACAAGUAGUGUUACACCUUUAACAGGGGCCAAAUUGAAUGGCUAGGAUUAUCUGAAUGGGAGAUUUUGAUGCAGCUCUCAUCCACCAUGGGGCUCAACCAUACAAAUAGUUCCAAUGGCAAGAUUGGAACCCAUGUACAAUUAAUCAACUCAAAACGGAUGCUAGAGACCCAGCCUCAUAUUUUCUUGACCAGCAAAUUAUAUGGUAGACAAAUUGAAACAUUGUUGAUGGUCUAAAUUUGAUAAAUAAAUGUCAACCAAUGACACAUUACGACCAUCCAAAAAUCUGAUUUUGAGCAUUCGGCCAAGGUGAAAAUUCGAGGCCCUCCAUUUCUAUUGGAUUGAGAUAAAUGUAAAAGCAUGAGCAGUGGCUGUGUGACUGGGCACUACUGGAUCAAGCAACCCUGCAUCAACUUCUUCUGAAAAGUUUAAGACCUGAAGUGUUCAGCAUGACAGUAACAAAGGCAUUAGCAGGACAUACUAUUAAAAACCAGAUAAGUUUUUAUUUUUCUUUUUGGUAGCAUUUGAGUGUCUAAUUACCUGCUUGCCUUCUUCUUCUUCUUCUUCUAUUUUUUUUGUUUCUUUAAUUUGUAAUUAUCCUUGACUGUUUUAGAUCAACAAGGGACGUCCCCAUAUUCAAGGAACGGUUUCAUCAUGACAAUGACGUGGCAGAGUAUUUCCGUUCUUUGGAAUUCACAAAAGAGCCAUCCAAAACUGAUAUAAGGGAGGUUCUAGAUUUGCUUACUGUCUCUGAGCUACGUGAAAUUUCAACUCUGGUGCUUUCAAAGCUUGCUUGGGAACACCAAUCUGUCGGGAACUAUUCCGAAUCUCAGCCCAUUAAGGAGGCUGGAUAGAUUGCAUUUUCAGGAAUUAGAAUUCUUCUUAAACCAACACUUGAGGAUUGCCUUCUCAUGUGUACAAGAACUGCCCCUCUGACAUCUCUCACAUUCCAUGAGGAAAUCUCUAGACAGACAUUCUCUUCAAAACCUCGUAGAAAGCAAUGAAAAUAUACUUAAAGUUCUUAACACAUGGUAGAAAUUUUGACAAUUGUUGUACACCUGAAGACAAUGGGUAGGUUGUUAAAGCAGACAAUCAGAGGGAAAUCACAUCUGAAAGAUGGUAAGAUCUUACUGGUGUGCAUGCAUUCAUGUAGACACAAGUUCUUAACACAUGGUAGAAAUUCUGACAAUUAUCGUACUUAGUAUUCAAAACUGAAUUUUUCUGACAGGGUUUUGAAACCAUUAGGAUCCUUUUAGAUGCCACCUUGAAAUGUAGAUUAAUCACAUGUAUGAGGAGUGCAGGCUGCCUGUGGCCCAAUCAUGUGAAGAACUUGGAGAAUUCGUUCACCCCAAGAUACAUGACUAUCUCAUUUUAUCCAUUGUGGCCCAAUCAUGUGGAGAACUUUCUUGAACUAUAUGCAGGUUUUAAUAUGUUGCUGGUAAUCAAACUAGACGAACACAAAAUUCCAUAGAGAGGCCUAGGGUUACUGUUGCAAUGCAUCAGGUCGAUAUACCUAUACAGCAAAGCUAUCUGUGGUAUGGUUCAAGCAUUGGAGACAAGGAUCCACAGGUAUGACGUUUCUAUGCUUAGGAUUAGCACUGUUACGGAAUUCAACUACUUGUGGUAACUGUUUAUUGUCAUGUGUGGGCUAAGUUUCAAGGCCUCUGGCACAUACAUAUUUCGACCGGAUGGCGCUCUUCAAACAGUUGCUUCAAGAUCGGUAAUCCAGUUGGUUUCCAGUUUCUUGUUCAUCGUAAAUUGCUGAAUAAUGACUUGAGAAAAUUGAAACCAUUAAAAAGCAGUGUUGGUUAGCUUGUUUGUGGUUUUAAGGUUACUAAACCUUGAAUGUAAUAUCAUUCGACUGUAGGUACCCUUGAAGAUUGUGCGAGGACCUCUAGUUGAUUUAGUUCAUCAACAAUUCAAUCUGUGGAUUUAUCAGCUUUUUUUGAUACACUGGUCAUGUUGAAUUGUGUUGGAAGAUAUCAACAACGAUAUAGAACUGAGAGAUGUUUGCUUUAGCUACCCUGCGAGACCCAACAUUCAUGUAUUUUCUGGGUUCUCAUUGCAUGUUCCAAGCGGCAUAACUGUGGAUUUAGUUGGAGAGAGCGGCAGUGGGAAGUCGACAGUGAUGAGCCUGGUGAA